GCCGCCGUAGCUCAACAGGAUAGAGCAGACCCGUCCUAAGGGUAAGGUUAGAGGUUCGAGUCCUCUCGGCGGUA
rnacentral:tRNA from 1 species